ensembl:lncRNA
AUGACUGAGGUGCCCUCGAGCGAGGCUCCCCUUGAGCAACUGCUCCCCGGGAGCCGCAGCAUAAAUGGCUGCCCACUGCUCCGGGUGUGUGUUCACGGUGUGUGUGUGUGUUCACUGCUGUGUGUGUGCACUUUGGAUGGGUUAAAUGCAGAGCACGAAUUCUGAGUAUGGGUCACCAUACUUGGCUGUAUGUCACGUCACUUUCACUUUUUUUUUUAAAUGAUGAGAUAACUCGUCCGUGUCGGGGAAAGGGUUAAAUGUUUGGCCAUUUGCAAUACAUAUAAAACACCCACUGUAAUAAUUCAACUAAAAUCAGUGUGACAUUCUAAAACGUUUAAUGUGAAAAUACUUAAAGUAUAUUUAAAACAGUGAUAUUAAAAGAUCAAAUUGUGUACACACCUUAUUGAUUAUGUCUACUUUAUACAGGCAAGCAGAUGAGCAUGGAAUAUGAACUAAAUGGUUAAAUGUGCUAAAUGGUUAAGUGUUUUCUUCAUAAUGGUUUUAUAUGGGAAAACAUUUAAUGUGAAACUUUGCAUUUAUAUUCUGGGUCCAUUUGCUUGCCUGUGCAAAGUCUGCAUCAUCAAUAAAGUGUGUACUGAAUUUGGUCUUUAAAUAUCACUGUCUUACUUAAUACUACUUAAUGCAAACCUUGUAAAAAUGACUGGCGGUCAGCGAAGGAAAACCUUGUUUUGCCCUCAAUGUGGGCAUUCCUGUAAGGGUGUGAUAUCACAUCUGCCCUACAAAGGCAAAAUACCUUAACCUGUUAGCCAGCACCCCCCAUUAUGGGACUCACAGCUGAAAGUGCCCUACCUAACUUAAAAUUGCAACAGUUCCUUACUUCAGUGUGUUACACACAUAAUUUUGGUGUCUUUGGAAAGAAGACCCUUUGUGCUGUACUUUUUAUCAACCAGAGUUGAUAAUGCUCAAAAAUAUUAAAAGUUAUAGACACUGAAGUGCCUUGAAUUUUUUUUUUACCACACUGAUUUUUUUUUUUUUUUGAUAUAAAAAAAUCCAUGAAAUCAGUCCUGGAGCAAUCUAGAAAAGUAAUUGGUUGAAAGUCAAAUGUCUCAUGUUUCCUGCAACCAUUUUUCUGAGACUAUGUCUAGUCCCCCCACCAAAUAUAUAUAUAAAAAAAAUAUUUACCAACUGUACUGAAGGGUUCUACAAACUAUUUUAGUCAUUAAAUAUAACACUGCAUAUAUAUAUAUAUAUAUAUAUAUAUAUAUAUAUAUAUAUAUAUAUAUAUAUAUAUAUAUUUCCCUUUAUAAAACACUAGCCAGAAACUUAGACAUCAUAUAAGUGAUUUAUUUGAGCACUAGAAAAAUAUAAGAAUAAUCUGAGUAAGAAAAAUAAGAAAACUUUUAAGAUUUAACUUUGUAUGCCAAUUACAGAACAUGACACCCCUCGCUGCAGACUGUAGCGCGGUGACGUCACGUACGUACGUCACGUAUGUGUUUACCGCGCAUGCGCAAAGUGACGUAAGGUAUGUCUUUAGCACGCAUGCGUGUGUAAUUUGCAUUGCGUGAUGACGUUAGUUGUUUUCGCGUCUUGCGUGCAUUAAAAUGCAUGCGCAUACUUAAAAGAAUACUCUAAUAAAAUGUUAAAGUAUUAAAGAACAUUAAGACAAAUAUCAGAAAACAGCACAUAUCCAUUAUUUUAACCAUGUUUCAUCUGAGGUAAAAUUAUACGGAAUUACAGAGUUUAUUCUGUAAUAUCUGUGUAGUAUUUUAUUUACAAUAUAUUAACAUUAUGUUGCACUUUACUUCACUGUGUGUAUUGUAAUAUUACACUUUAAUGACACCUCAUAUAUGUCUUAUUGAGCUAUUCAAGAGUAAAACAGAUGAAAAUCAGUCGUCAGCUCUAGUGGUGCAGAAGGUAAAACAUGUGUUGAUUACAAUUUGAUGCAAUCGACCCGGGUUCGAGUGUUCCUUUUGACUUAAGUUUUUUUUCUCCUUUUUCAAAUUUCAAAUCACAUCAGAAAAGCAUGUAUUUUCAAUAAAAAUGAAGGAAAUAAUCAAAAAGUUGUGAGGGAGGGCUUUAUUGUCCCAAUAAGGUGGCAUCCAUAUAAUAAUUUGAGUUAAAAUUAUAAUUUACGCUCAAUAAGUUAUUAUUGCAUACUGUUUUAUAAUGUACUACAAUACUGAGGUGCAGAUACUUGCCACUAUUUGCAAUAAGUAUAAGUUGCCACCUGGAACUCAGGUUGUAUUGUGCAGAAAAUGCACUCCAGUUCUCGACACCUAAUUUUUCGACACCUAAGAACAAACGAUAUUAAAGCAAUAUUAAAUCAUUUUGAAGGCAGAAGAGCCAUACAAGGAAAAGAUUUUAAAUGUAUUUUUAAAUAUAUUAUAGGAUGGUGUUAGAAAAAGUGUUAUUUGCUUUUUCUGUAAAGUGAUUUAAUUUAUAACCAGCAUUAACAUUAACUAAAUUAAUAAAGUUUGUCAAGUCAAAAUUUAGGUUGUCUUGGCUCGAGAAAGUAUAGCCUGAAAGUUUGAAGUUUUUUCAAUGUGAAAAUUUUACAGUUGAGGGCAAUUUUAUUUUAUUUUUUUACAUUAGAUUAGAUUCAACUUUAUUGUCAUUGUACAUGUAAGGUACAAGGCAACUUAAUGCAGUAAGCAUCUUGCUAGAAGUGCAGUAAGCAGUAAGAACAGGAUAUACAAUGUCUACAAUAUGUUACAAAUGUACAAUAAAUCUACAAAUAAGGCAGUAUUAUGGACAUAAUUUACAGAUUUUAAAUACUAUCAGCAUGAUAUACAGAUAGGUGUGCUAUGAACGUACUAUACAGAUGGAUUAUGUAAGUGUAUGUACACUAUAAGCAGAAACUAUGAACAUAUGAACAUCAUUUACACAAGUGCAAUGGACAGUAACAAAGUGCAUAGAAAAUAUUUCAGUGUGCAAAUGGAUUACUCCGUAUUCUGGAUGAACAGACAGUAGUUCAAGUAAUAACAAGUUACUGUUUUUUGCUUGUUUGUAAAUAAUCAGAUGUAGU